CCUGCAUUCUGACAGCGCUUCAAUGGAGACUAGCAGCUAACCACUGGAUACCACUGUAACUAACAGACAUUUCCAAGUCCAGGGGUGAAGCUCCAGCGCAACCUCAACUAAAUUUCCCCAAGACACUCCAGGAAGACUGAAACAGGAGCUUCAAGGGUGAGUGGUAUGCAGUCCACCCCUGGUUAGAAUACUCCAUAAGUGAAGACUCUACCUCUAACAAACAAAAAUGACAAUUAUGUAAAAUGAUUUACAUGGAUCUACACUCACACACGCACACGCACACGCACACGCACACACACACACAAACAAAGAGUGCCCCUUAUAGACCUGGUUUGUCAGUGCUCUGUUUUCAUUCAGCACCACAAUCUAUUUGAUGUAGUAAGCUAGUGAUAUUGUUCACUAUUUGUAGUGAUACUGUUCAAUGUACAUUGUACAUAUUGUUGAUAUUUUUUUUAUGUAUUAUGGGACAUGUGUGUGUGAUGUAAUGUUUUUGCUUUUCUUUCUCUUUAUAUAUACAUAUAUAAAUAUGUAUAUAUUAUCGCAAAUGAAUGGAAUAUUGCACUUAAAAUGCUACAGUUUACCUAAAUAAAUUAUCGCCUAAAAUGACAA